UCGUAGGUCAGUCUGGAUGUCAUUACAUGGAUCCACUUGAUGAACUUCCUUUGUGUCUUCAUCUGGAAUGAUGAUGGAGUCUUCUGCAAUCUGGGUUUUCAGGCAGUCCCACUGGCAGACCAUCUUUAUGCAGUGUGCAACAUCAACCCUGAUAUAACAGGGAGGAAGUUUUGCAGACUGGUUCCCAAGUAGCACAUGGAAGCAUUCAUCAAUGUAUGAUUUCAGGUUAGGACAAGGAGUGAAGGCCUUCACCAGAGCACCAAGAAUAGCCAGGGAAAAGUCACUCACAGCUUCUUUUGAACACCUUGGUAUAAGAAGAUGUGGCCAGAUGUACCAUUUGGUCUUGCCAGUUUUCUGACAACUGAACCA